rnacentral:rRNA from 1 species
UACGAAGGGGGCCAGCGUUGCUCGGAAUUAUUGGGCGUAAAGCGCACGUAGGCGGCUUAGCAAGUCGGAUGUGAAAUCCCUCGGCUCAACCAAGGAAGUGCAUCCGAAACUGCUGAGCUUGAGUACGAAAGAGGAUCGCGGAAUUCCCGGUGUAGAGGUGAAAUUCGUAGAUAUCGGGAGGAACACCAGUGGCGAAGGCGACUUCCUGGCCUGUUCUUGACGCUGAGGCGCGAAAGCUAGGGAAGCAAACGGG